UACGGAGGGGGCUAGCGUUGUUCGGAAUUACUGGGCGUAAAGCGUACGUAGGCGGCUUUGUAAGUUAGAGGUGAAAGCCCGGGGCUCAACUCCGGAAUUGCCUUUAAGACUGCAUCGCUUGAAUCAUGGAGAGGUGAGUGGAAUUCCGAGUGUAGAGGUGAGAUUCGUAGAUAUUCGGAAGAACACCAGUGGCGAAGGCGACUCACUGGACAUGUAUUGACGCUGAGGUACGAAAGCGUGGGGAGCAAACAGG
rnacentral:rRNA from 1 species